rnacentral:rRNA from 1 species
AUACGUAGGGGGCGAGCGUUGUCCGGAAUGAUUGGGCGUAAAGGGCGCGUAGGCGGCCCGGUAAGUCUGGAGUGAAAGUCCUGCUUUUAAGGUGGGAAUUGCUUUGGAUACUGUCGGGCUUGAGUGCAGGAGAGGUAAGUGGAAUUCCCAGUGUAGCGGUGAAAUGCGUAGAGAUUGGGAGGAACACCAGUGGCGAAGGCGACUGACAGGACUGUAACUGACGCUGAGGCGCGAAAGUGUGGGGAGCAAACAGGAUUAGAUACCCUGGUAGUCCACACUGUAAACGAUGAAUGCUAGGUGUAGGGGGUAUCGACCCCUUCUGUGCCGCAGUUAACACAAUAAGUAUUCCGCCUGGGGAGUACGGCCGCAAGGUUGAAACUCAAAGGAAUUGACGGGG